ACAGGAUUAGAUACCCUGGUAGUCCACACAGUAAACGAUGGCCACUGCUUGUGGGAACCUUCCACGGUUUCUGCGACGCAGCUAACGCAUUAAGUGCCCCGCCUGGGGAGUACGAUCGCAAGAUUAAAACUCAAAGGAAUUGACGGGGCCCCGCACAAGCAGCGGAGCAUGCGGCUUAAUUCGACGCAACGCGAAGAACCUUACCAAGGCUUGACAUAUACAGGAAUAUGGCAGAGAUGUCAUAGCCGCAAGGUCUGUAUACAGGUGGUGCAUGGUUGUCGUCAGCUCGUGUCGUGAGAUGUUGGGUUAAGUCCCGCAACGAGCGCAACCCUCGUUCUGUGUUGCCAGCAUUUAGUUGGGGACUCACAGGAGACUGCCGGGGUCAACUCGGAGGAAGGUGGGGAUGACGUCAAAUCAUCAUGCCCCUUAUGUCUUGGGCUGCACGCAUGCUACAAUGGCUGGUACAAAGGGCUGCAAUACUGCAAAGUGGAGCGAAUCCCAAAAAGCCAGUCUCAGUUCGGAUUGGGGUCUGCAACUCGACCCCAUGAAGUCGGAGUUGCUAGUAAUCGUAGAUCAGCAACGCUACGGUGAAUACGUUCCCGGGGCUUGUACACACCGCCCGUCACAUCACGAAAGUCGGUAACACCCGAAGUCAGUGGCCCAACCGUAAGGGGGGAGCUGCCGAAG
rnacentral:rRNA from 1 species